rnacentral:rRNA from 2 species
GACGAACGCUGGCGGUAUGCUUAACACAUGCAAGUCGAACGAGACGAGAUGGAAGGAUCCUUCGGGUGACGGAAAUCUUAGAAAGUGGCGAACGGGUGAGUAACGCGUGGGUAACCUGCCCUAUGGAAAGGAAUAGCCUCGGGAAACUGGGAGUAAUGCCUUAUAAUAUAGUGAAGUCGCAUGGCUUUGCUAUUAAACGCUCCGGUGCCAUAGGAUGGACCCGCGUCCCAUUAGCUAGUUGGUGAGAUAACAGCCCACCAAGGCGACGAUGGGUAACCGGUCUGAGAGGGCGAACGGUCACACUGGAACUGAGACACGGUCCAGACUCCUACGGGAGGCAGCAGUGGGGAAUAUUGCGCAAUGGGGGCAACCCUGACGCAGCAAUACCGCGUGAGUGAAGAAGGUUUUCGGAUCGUAAAGCUCUGUUAUUGGGGAAGAAAAAAGACGGUACCCAAGAAGAAAGUCCCGGCUAACUACGUG